AUUUGUCUGGUUAAUUCCGAUAACGAACGAGACCUUAACCUGCUAACUAGAUACUUUUAUUCUAUAAUUGUUAUCUUCUUAGAGGGACUAUGUAAUUAAAAUACAUGGAAGUUUGAGGCAAUAACAGGUCAGUGAUGCCCUUAUAUGUCCUGGGCUGCACGCGUGCUACACUGAUGCAUACAACAAGUGCCUAACCAGACAUGGUACGGCAAUCUCGAAUAUGCAUCGUGAUGGGGAUAGAUCUUUGCAAUUAUAGAUCUUGAACGAGGAAUUCCUAGUAAGUGCAAGUCAUCAUCUUGCAUUGAUUAUGUCCCUGCCCUUUGUACACACCGCCCGUCGCUCCUACCGAUACCGGGUGAUCCGGUGAACCUUUUGGACUCAUUGAGAAAGAUAAGUAAACCAUAUCACCUAGAGGAAGGAGAAGUCGUAACAAGGUUUCCGUAGGUGAACCUGCRGAAGGAUCA
rnacentral:rRNA from 1 species